GACGAACGCUGGCGGCGUGCUUAACACAUGCAAGUCGAACGGAAAGGCCCUGCUUUUGUGGGGUGCUCGAGUGGCGAACGGGUGAGUAACACGUGAGUAACCUGCCCUUGACUUUGGGAUAACUUCAGGAAACUGGGGCUAAUACCGGGUAGGAGCUCCUGCUGCAUGGUGGGGGUUGGAAAGUUUCGGCGGUUGGGGUGGGACUGUCGGCUUAUCAGCUUGUUGGUGGGGUAGUGGCUUACCAAGGCUUUGACGGGUAGCCGGCCUGAGAGGGUGACCGGCCACAUUGGGACUGAGAUACGGCCCAGACUCCUACGGGAGGCAGCAGUGGGGAAUAUUGCACAAUGGGCGGAAGCCUGAUGCAGCAACGCCGCGGGCGGGAUGACGGCCUUCGGGUUGUAAACCGCUUUCGCCUGUGACGAAGCGUGAGUGACGGUAAUGGGUAAAGAAGCACCGGCUAACUACGUG
rnacentral:rRNA from 1 species